rnacentral:lncRNA from 10 species
UGAGAGACUCUGCCUUUUCAACAUGGAUGGCUCCUCCCGCUGCCGCUGCCGCUCCAGGAGACAGCAUUACAGAGCAUCAGUUAGGUGCAGAGACUGGGCAGUGCACCCGUGUGCAAAGACAGGAGACACGAAUCUUCCCUGAAGGAGUGACAGUCUAGGGAGGAAGGCAGACUGCAGGUGAGGUAACAGAUUCUUCAUGUUUACAAAAAAAUGUGCCAAGUGCUGUACAAUCUUUGCAUUCUUUCCCAUUUUCCAGCUGAUUUUUUGUUCUCAAAGAGCUGGCAAAAUACAGAGUCCUUGGAAGUAUAAUAAAAUAAUCAGAAUCUAGUCAUUAUUAUUUCUCCUCACCAUUUGGAAAAAAUUUGUGUCCAUUAUAUUUCCAAAAACUUCCAACCUGUAUUAUCUUUUGUAAAGAUAAAAAAUUUUUUACUUGAGGUGAAUAAUUUUCAGCAAGAGUACAUCUUUGUUUCCUAUUCAAACUACUUGGCCAUGUGUUUGAAUUCUUUGCAUUUUUAAAGCUACUUUUUUUUAGAUUCAUCGAUUAUUUCUGACAAUGGAACCCCUGAGUCCUGUGUCCACCAGCUGCUGCUAAAUACCUCUGAGAAACUCUGCUUCUAUCUAAGGGGACCUACUUCUCUCGGGAAUCUCAAUACUUGGAACAAGAACCUCCUAGACGGACCCUUUGGCAUAAUGAAUUGGACCAACUGUAGGUUCCAGGACUAGAGAGCCAGCAAUGCCUCCAUGAACAAUCUCACCCAAUUACUCUGCUCAGGAAACGAGGUAACUGAUGGACAGCCGAGGCAGCCCCUUAGGCGGCUUAGGCCUCCCCUGUGGAGCAUCCCUGAGGCGGACUCCGGCCAGCCCGAGUGACGCGAUCCAAAGAGCACUCCCGGGUAGGAAAUUGCCCCGGUGGAAUGCCUCACCAGAGCAGCGUGUAGCAGUUCCCUGUGGAGGAUUAACACAGU